UACAGAGGUCCCGAGCGUUGUUCGGAUUCAUUGGGCGUAAAGGGUGCGUAGGCGGCGGGGCAAGUCUGAUGUGAAAUCCCCGGGGCUCAACCCCGGAACUGCAUUGGAUACUGCCUUGCUAGAGUACUGGAGAGGGAACUGGAAUUUACGGUGUAGCAGUGAAAUGCGUAGAGAUCGUAAGGAAGGCCAGUGGGCGAAGGCGAGUU
rnacentral:rRNA from 1 species